rnacentral:rRNA from 1 species
AGAGUUUGAUCCUGGCUCAGAACGAACACUGGCGGCAGGCCUAAUACAUGCAAGUCGAGCGCAUCCUUCGGGAUGAGCGGCGGACGGGUGAGUAACGCGUGGGAAUAUGCCCUUCUCUAAGGAAUAGCCUCUGGAAACGGAGAGUAAUACCUUAUACGCCCUUCGGGGGAAAGAUUUAUCGGAGAAGGAUUAGCCCGCGUUAGAUUAGGUAGUUGGUGGGGUAAUGGCCUACCAAGCCUACGAUCUAUAGCUGGUUUGAGAGGAUGAUCAGCCACACUGGGACUGAGACACGGCCCAGACUCCUACGGGAGGCAGCAGUAGGGAAUCUUAGACAAUGGGGGAAACCCUGAUCUAGCCAUGCCGCGUGUGUGAUGAAGGCCUUAGGGUCGUAAAGCACUUUCGCCAGAGAUGAUAAUGACAGUAUCUGGUAAAGAAACCCCGGCUAACUCCGUGCCAGCAGCCGCGGUAAUACGGAGGGGGUUAGCGUUGUUCGGAAUUACUGGGCGUAAAGCGCACGUAGGCGGAUUAGUAAGUUAGAGGUGAAAUCCCAGGGCUCAACCCUGGAACUGCCUUUAAUACUGCUAGUCUUGAGUUCGAGAGAGGUAAGUGGAAUUCCAAGUGUAGAGGUGAAAUUCGUAGAUAUUUGGAGGAACACCAGUGGCGAAGGCGGCUUACUGGCUCGAUACUGACGCUGAGGUGCGAAAGUGUGGGGAGCAAACAGGAUUAGAUACCCUGGUAGUCCACACCGUAAACGAUGAAUGCCAGACGUCAGCAAGCAUGCUUGUUGGUGUCACACCUAACGGAUUAAGCAUUCCGCCUGGGGAGUACGGUCGCAAGAUUAAA